rnacentral:lncRNA from 1 species
GAGCAGGAGACCCUAACUUCCUGGCUCCCGCACUCCCCAGGCGCACCACAUUUCAGCACGACGGACAGCGCAGCACUGGGGCGCGACUGGGGAGGCGGGGACCAAUACCACGCUGUUUCAGCCCGGCUUUUUCAAAUCUCUCGGGUCUCCGCCCUCAUUUCCGUGCAUUUUCGAAACGACUCUCACAGCAACCGAAGCCACAAAAACACAUUCACAGAAAACGGGGAAGCUCCAGGGUUCGCUUACCGUCUGACAAGUCAAUCAGUCCGAGUGAAAAACCCAACAAGCUGGUCUGGAACAUAUGUGGUCCCUGCUUUGACACAGUGAAAUGUCCCUGGAAACUGUACCACCAGGAAAGCUAUGGAAAUCAGCAAGGCAGUUGCUAAACAUUUGUCAGCUUGAAAUCAGCCAUGGUAGGGUGUUGACACCACAGAAAUGCUACACAUCAGUGUUUCUUCACCCUCCCCACUGUCUCUGAAUUACCAGGAUGCCACGCUACCAUUCCAGAUCCCAUCUGCCCAGAAGAAAACCUGAGAAAUUCACCUGCCCAGAGGUUUUUCUGACUUACUGUGUUUCCUCUCCUCUGGGGCCCUAGCAAGUGUAAUAAUUAACCCACUGGGCUUAAUGGGAUUUUAGGCAUUCACAUAUCCAGAUAUGCGGAACUAAAUUAGACGCAGGAAGACUUCCAUGUUUCUGGUAAGUCAAUACUUUGUUCUCUUGGCUUAUCUUAGCUGUAUCUCUUCUAGGUUUCUACUUACUCCUUCCUCUCUCCCUGCUGCUUCCUUCCCAACAACUCUCUGCCUUAUAAAACUCAUGCUGUUCCUGAUCUUCCCUCCCGUGUAUUCUCCCUUUUUGCAAGCUCAUGCAUAAGCUAGGCAUAAGCUCU